rnacentral:rRNA from 1 species
CCUACGGGAGGCAGCAGUGGGGAAUAUUGGACAAUGGGGGGAACCCUGAUCCAGCCAUGCCGCGUGUGUGAAGAAGGCCCUCGGGUUGUAAAGCACUUUCAGUGAGGAAGAACGCCUGGUGGUUAAUACCCAUCAGGAAAGACAUCACUCACAGAAGAAGCACCGGCUAACUCCGUGCCAGCAGCCGCGGUAAUACGGAGGGUGCGAGCGUUAAUCGGAAUUACUGGGCGUAAAGCGCGCGUAGGUGGCUUGAUAAGCCGGUUGUGAAAGCCCCGGGCUCAACCUGGGAACGGCAUCCGGAACUGUCCAGCUAGAGUGCAGGAGAGGAAGGUAGAAUUCCCGGUGUAGCGGUGAAAUGCGUAGAGAUCGGGAGGAAUACCAGUGGCGAAGGCGGCCUUCUGGACUGACACUGACACUGAGGUGCGAAAGCGUGGGUAGCAAACAGGAUUAGAUACCCCUGUAGUC